AUUGAACGCUGGCGGCAGGCCUAACACAUGCAAGUCGAGCGGAGCGGCGGACGGGUGAGUAAUGCCUAGGAAUCUGCCUGGUAGUGGGGGAUACCGUCCGGCAACGGGCGCUAAUACCGCAUACUAUCAGAUGAGCCUAGGUAGGAUUAGCUAGUUGGUGGGGAAAAGGCCUACCAAGGCGACGAACCGUAAAUGGUCUGAGGGGAUGAUACGUCACACUGGAACGUAGACACGGUCCAGACUCCUACGGGAGGCAGCAGUGGGGAAUAGUGGACAAUGGGCGAAAGCCUGAUCCAGCCAUGCCGCGUGUGUGAAGAAGGUCUUCGGAUUGUAAAGCACUUUAAGUUGGGAGGCGUUACCAACAGAAUAAGCACCGGCUAACUUCGUGCCAGCCGCCGCGGUAAUAC
rnacentral:rRNA from 1 species